rnacentral:rRNA from 1 species
UACAGAGGCCUCAAGCGUUGUUCGGAUUCAUUGGGCGUAAAGGGCGCGUAGGCGGCGCGGUAAGUCGGGUGUGAAAUCUUGGAGCUUAACUCCGAAACUGCAUUCGAUACUGCCGUGCUUGAGGACUGGAGAGGAGACUGGAAUUUACGGUGUAGCGGUGAAAUGCGUAGAUAUCGUAAGGAAGACCAGUGGCGAAGGCGGGUCUCUGGACAGUUCCUGACGCUGAGGCACGAAGGCCAGGGGAGCAAACGGG